ACCUGGGUAGCUCAGUCGUUAAGCAUCUGACUUCAGUUCAGGUCAUGAUCUCACAAUCUGUGAGUUUGAGCCCCACAUCAGGUG
rfam:Felis catus breed Abyssinian Contig150736.1, whole genome shotgun sequence. [26-MAY-2016]